AUGUGAACUUACCUUUUGUUGCCUCGGCAGGUCGUGUCUAUC
rnacentral:rRNA from 1 species